GAUAACUGUGGUAAUUCUAGAGCUAAUACAUGCAGCAAGCCUUGACCCUCACGGGCAAGGCGCAGUUAUUAGAUCAAAAACCAAUCGGUUGUACUUUCGGGUAUAGCCGUUACUUUGGUGACUCUGAGUAACCACAGCGAACCGUAUGGCCUCGUGCUCGACGGUCUGUCAGUCAAGCAACUGCCUUAUCAGCUUGUUGUUAGAUUAUAUGCCUAACAAGGCUUCAACGGGUAACGAACGAUCGGGGUCGGAUAUCGGAGAGGGAGCUUGAGAAACGGCUACCACUUCCAAGGAAGGCAGCAGGCGCGCAAAUUACCCACUCUCGGCAUGAGGAGGUAGCAAUAAAAUGUAUCGAUGCGGGGCCUUUAGUGCCUUCGUAAUCGGAAUGAGUACACUUUAAAUCCUAUAACAAGGACCUAUUGGAGGGCAAGUCUGGUGCCAGCAGCCGCGGUAAUUCCAGCUCCAAUAGCGUAUAUUAAUGCUGCUGCGGUUAAAAAGCUCGUAGUCGGAUCUGGGUUUUCGGCGGGUACCGCAUGUUGCUUCAUGCAGCAUGUUGUGUACUAGACGUGUCGCUUCGGCGGCACUGCCAGUGUAAUGCUGUCUCAUGUAGGCACGUUAUGCUGGUCGCCGGAACCACGGGCCGGGUUGAGCAGCAUGCUCUUAGUUGAGUGUGUUGUUUACUCGAUGCGUUUACUUUGAAAAAAUUGGAGUGCUCAAAGCAAGCGUACAGUCGCUAUGCGGCUUGAACAGUGGUGCAUGGAAUAAUGGAAUAGGGCCUCGGUUCUAUUUUGUUGGUUUUAAGAUAUCGAGGUAAUGAUUAAGAGGGACAGACGGGGACGUUUGUAUUGCGACGUUAGAGGUGAAAUUCUUGGAUCGUCGCAAGACACACUAAUGCGAA
rnacentral:rRNA from 1 species